rnacentral:lncRNA from 1 species
ACAGAAUUUGGAACCCCGGUAACCAGGCACCCACAUUCCACAGACAGCCCCCUGCCCAGCUCAUUUCAUUGGAGAUCUUAAUGGCAAAAUGUUCACGUGUUGCCUGCCAAGGUCCCGAGGCUGCAGGUGGAAGAAGGCGCGCCUUGAGGACGCUGUCCCCCGCUGGGGAUUUCAUGUCAGGACUCCCCACCGCCUCUGGCCAUUUGGUCGGAAGGACAGAAAGAAGGCCACGGAGGACACGGAGAGGCAGCUGGCGGACGUGCCCUCCUCCCUGACAGAGGGGGUGACCCCAAAGGCAUCCCAAGAAACAGGUGCUGGGGAUUGCGAGGCAAGACCUCCGACACCACGCGGACCACCGUCCCAGGUGGUCGUCCACUGGACAGUGGUCCAGGAGCCGGAGCCCAUGGAGGCCGAGGCCGAGGCUGCUCCACCACCUGAGGAGCCAGAGCCCGAUCUGGAGGGAGGGCUGGUGCCUGCAGUGACUUCAGGAGGAGACCAGGAGCCGGCAGGUGACCCGGCACCUGCCCACGGAGAGCCUGGCGCUGUCCAGGAAGAACUGGCACCUGCUCCUGCCGCAGCCCCUGCCCCUGCCCCUGCUGCAGUUCCUGCCACUCCCCCUUCCCCCACCCCAGCCCCUGCCCCUGCCUCGGACCUAGAUCCUGACCUGGCUCCCGCCCCUUCCCUUACCCCUGCCUCUGCCCCUGCCCCAGCCCCUGCCCCUGCCUGUGCUCUUGUUCCUGCCCCUGCCCCUGUUCCUGCUCCUGCCCCUGCCAGAGCCACUGUCCCUGACCCAGAUCCUACCCUUGCUCCUGCCCCUGUCCGUACUCCUGCCAGAGCCACUGCCCCUUCCCCUGCCCCUGCCAGUGGUCCUGUUCCUCCCCCUGAGCCAGAUCCUGUCCCUGCUCCUGCCCUGGAUCCUGCACCUGCCACUACUGCUGACCCUGUCCCUCCCCUUGCCCCUGCCCCUGUCCCUGCCCCUAUCCUGAGCCCUGCCCCUACUCCUGCUCCUGCAGGGCUCCCACAGCCACAUCCAGAGCCCACAGCCCUGCAGGGAGAGCUCCUUGUACAAUCACCCUUAGUUCCAUCCCCGGAACCCGAGACCCCGCCCGAUUGUUUCAUCCCCUCCCCCUGUGUUCUUUCUCUCUGGUACAUAUUAACUGUUAUUUUAUCCUUCCAUGUCCUAUAUACUGUUUAUUAUUUGUUUUAAAUAAAAUUACUUGUUUUCAAUUGAACACGUCUUGAGCAUUAAGUACAUGCCCAACGCUGUGCCACCACACCCCAGAACAUUGCCGCAGAAUAUCUCAUUCCCCAAAGGAGUCCCCGAACCAGAAGCCCUCCCUGCCCAUUUCUCCUGCAGCCCAGACCCCGGUGACCCCUAAGCUGCUUUCUCUCUCUGUUCCUUUACCUAUUCCUGAUGUUUCUGUAAGUGGAAUCACACAAUAGGGGCCUUUGUGUCUGCCCCCCUAUUUUCAAAGGGGACUCGUUUUCUUCUGUGUUUAUUUGUCAUAAAAUUUCCCUUAUUUGAUAUUGAAAUCCCC